GCUGGUGUAGCUCAGUGGUAGAGCGCGUCAUUGGUAAUGACGAGGUCGAGAGUUCAAUUCUCUUCUCCAGCACCA
rnacentral:tRNA from 2 species